rnacentral:rRNA from 1 species
AAUCCAGUCACCUUCUCGGAGUGAAUUGGUCUUAGAGUGCAAUGGUAGAAGGGAGUUUGACUGUAAGAUCCACCCAUCGAACAAGAACGAAAAUCGAUAUUAGU